AAGUAUAUGAGGUGAUUAAUUGGAGGGCAAAUCAAGUGCCAGCAGCCGCGGUAAUACUUGUUCCAAGAGUGUGUAUGAUGAUUGAUGCAGUUAAAAAGUCCGUAGUUUAUUUUUUUAAAAUAGGUGUAGUUGGGAAAAAGAAUGGCACCA
rnacentral:rRNA from 1 species